rnacentral:tRNA from 1 species
GAGUGAUGCUAUUGUUAGCAUUUCGUUAGCAAGAUGCUAAUUUCCUCUGUAUUUUCAAUGUUUUCUGCUCCCCUGCUAAGGGAGUAGGCGUCUAAUCCACGCGCGAGGGUUCAAAUCCCUCCUUCCGCGCCA